rnacentral:rRNA from 1 species
UACGAAGGGGGCUAGCGUUGUUCGGAAUUACUGGGCGUAAAGCGCGCGCAGGCGGUUUUCCAAGUCAGUGGUGAAAGCCCGGAGCUCAACUCCGGAAUUGCCAUUGAAACUGCAAAACUUUGAGUACGAGAGAGGUGAGUGGAAUUCCCAGUGUAGAGGUGAAAUUCGUAGAUAUUGGGAAGAACACCGGUGGCGAAGGCGGCUCACUGGCUCGUAACUGACGCUCAGGCGCGAUAGCGUGGGGAUCAAACAGG